UAUAAGGGAUUUUGAGUUUUUACUUGUAACGUUUGACUGCUCGUCUUAUUUAAAAAUUUUUGAAAUUAUUAUUUAUUUUAUUUGUGACUUACUUUAUUAUCCACGGUACUUUAAGUACAACUUUUCGUUUUUUAUAUUUGCACAAAAAAUUAAAUAAGACGAGCAGUCAAACGUUGCAAACAAAAAAUCAAAAUCCCUUAUA
rnacentral:pre_miRNA from 1 species